rnacentral:misc_RNA from 1 species
GGAGCACCAAUGCCGGUGAAGCGUCAGAUCGUCAGCAGCUUUCUAACUUCACAACAGGUAUACGAACCAGCACAAGAUGAACACACUGACUGUAUGGGUGGCUGUUGGCCUGGUGUGUACGCUGAUGUGUCACACACUGGCAGUAGAGACAAUUGAUUGUCCUCCGAUCAGUAGUAACAGAUGUCGCAGACCAGCAAGCACAACCACACUGGAUGGUGACGAGUACUGCUGUCCUCGGAAGUUCCCGAACUUAAGUUCAGGCUUGAAAAACGUCAACGGGGUGGUAACCGUUUCGUGUAAAUGUUUCCAGGACCUGGAUGCAUAAAUAUACUUCCCUUUCGAUUCCGCUUUCAACUGACGUUCCUCAGAUAGUUUAUCGUUGAGAUGUAUUAUUUGUCAGUCUGAAUAAAAACAAUUCGAAUUGUU